CGACUAACGUAUCGGAUUUACUGGGCGUAAAGCGUGCGUAGGCGGCUGAUUAAGUCGGAUGUGAAAUCCCUGAGCUUAACUUAGGAAUUGCAUUCGAUACUGGUCAGCUAGAGUAUGGGAGAGGAUGGUAGAAUUCCAGGUGUAGCGGUGAAAUGCGUAGAGAUCUGGAGGAAUACCGAUGGCGAAGGCAGCCAUCUGGCCUAAUACUGACGCUGAGGUACGAAAGCAUGGGGAGCAAACGGGAUUAGAUACCCCGGUAGUCCUAGCCGUAAACGUUGGGCACUAGGUGUGGGAGGUAUCGACCCCUUCCGUGCCGCAGCUAACGCAUUAAGUGCCCCGCCUGGGGAGUACGGCCGCAAGACUAAAACUCAAAUGAAUUGACGGGGGCCCGCACAAGCGGUGGAGCAUGUGGUUUAAUUCGAUGCAACGCGAAGAACCUUACCUGGCCUUGACAUAGUAAGAACUUUCCAGAGAUGGAUUGGUGCCUUCGGGAACUUACAUACAGGUGCUGCAUGGCUGUCGUCAGCUCGUGUCGUGAGAUGUUGGGUUAAGUCCCGCAACGAGCGCAACCCUUUUCCUUAUUUGCCAGCACUUCGGGUGGGAACUUUAAGGAUACUGCCAGUGACAAACUGGAGGAAGGCGGGGACGACGUCAAGUCAUCAUGGCCCUUACGGCCAGGGCUACACACGUGCUACAAUGGUCGGUACAAAGGGUUGCUACACAGCGAUGUGAUGCUAAUCUCAAAAAGCCGAUCGUAGUCCGGAUUGGAGUCUGCAACUCGACUCCAUGAAGUCGGAAUCGCUGGUAAUCGCGGAUCAGAAUGCCGCGGUGAAUACGUUCCCGGGCCUUGUACACACCGCCCGUCACACCAUGGGAGUUUGUUGCACCAGAAGUAGCUAGCCUAACUGCAAAGAGGGCGGUUACCACGGUGUGGCCGAUGACUGGGGUGAAGUCGUAACAAGGUAAC
rnacentral:rRNA from 1 species